GACUGUAGGUGAAAGCUUUACAUCUCUUCGGAGCAUUUUACGAGGUGCUGCAUGGUUGUCGUCAGCUCGUGCCGUGAGGUGUCGGGUUAAGUCCCAUAACGAGCGCAACCCUACCUUAGUUGCCAUCAGGUAAUGCUGGGGACUCUAAAGGAACUGCCUACGCAAGUAGUGAGGAAGGCGGGGAUGACGUCAAAUCAGCACGGCCCUUACGUCCAGGGCUACACACGUGCUACAAUGGCCGAUACAGAGGGCAGCUACCUGGUGACAGGAUGCAAAUCUCCAAAGUCGGUCUCAGUUCGGAUCGGAGUCUGCAACCCGACUCCGUGAAGUUGGAUUCGCUAGUAAUCGCGCAUCAGCCAUGGCGCGGUGAAUACGUUCCCGGGCCUU
rnacentral:rRNA from 1 species